rnacentral:rRNA from 1 species
AGUGAACGCUGGCGGUAGGCCUAACACAUGCAAGUCGAACGGCAGCACAGUAAGAGCUUGCUCUUACGGGUGGCGAGUGGCGGACGGGUGAGGAAUACAUCGGAAUCUACUUUUUCGUGGGGGAUAACGUAGGGAAACUUACGCUAAUACCGCAUACGACCUACGGGUGAAAGCAGGGGAUCUUCGGACCCUGCGCGAUUGAAUGAGCCGAUGUCGGAUUAGCUAGUUGGCGGGGUAAAGGCCCACCAAGGCGACGAUCCGUAGCUGGUCUGAGGGGAUGAUCAGCCACACUGGAACUGAGACACGGUCCAGACUCCUACGGGAGGCAGCAGUGGGGAAUAUUGGACAAUGGGCGCAAGCCUGAUCCAGCCAUACCGCGUGGGUGAAGAAGGCCUUCGGGUUGUAAAGCCCUUUUGUUGGGAAAGAAAAGCAGCAGGUUAAUACCCCGCUGUUCUGACGGUACCCAAAGAAUAAGCACCGGCUAACUUCGUG